GGCCGUGUGCUCUGUGCACACAAUGCAGCAGUGCCCUGGCUCUCACACGCACAGCAUUCCCCGCCCUGCCCCACCUCUCCUAGAACCAGACCAGCACCAUGGCUCUCCUACCUCCCCCACGCACCUGGUCUACCCCCAUUGUUCUUGAGACAGCUAGCAGCAUUCUAUCAAAGUCACUACCGCUCCCUCCAACCCCACCCUUAGCCAUUGUUUAGAAAAAUAGGCACCAAGCACCCCUCUGCUCUCUGCCACCAGUGUGGUGUGACCACUCCAGCUCCCUGGCUACAUGUGUGGGACCAUCCUGCAGCCUUCCCGUUGUGCUCUGGGUGAGACAGUUGGGUCCAGCCAGCGCAUCACUGAAGGAGCUGAUCUGCUGGAAGGACUUCAGGAUAUGCGUCCCCUGCUGGCCUCUGCCAUUGCCUCAGACCAUGGCCUCCCUGAAGGGGUGUCUACUGGAAUGGCUACUAUGCAGUUCUUACACAGUGGUGGCUUACCACUGGCCACCCUGACCUCUCCUCUGUGCUUCUGGGCUUCCCUUUCAUUGGGGUGAGGAAGCAGAGGUCAAGGUCAGAGUGCCUCUUGAAGGUUCUCCCAGAUAUGGGAACUGGGGCCUCUUCCCUGGAAAUGAGGGCAGGGACCCAGUUCCAUCCUGGGGUGUGUCCCCAGAUACAGCCUGGGUUCAAAGGGUAGGGAUUCAUGGUGCUGACCCAGGCUCUCUGAGAAGGCCCUGUCAUUCCUGUUUGUGAUGUCCUGAGGAUCUCCAUCUGUAGGUUUUUGUUUUCAAAUCAAGCUCCGACCACCGCCAUUUUGCUCAGUGCUUUCUAUUUUGGUUUUAUCCUAACAUGUCACUGCCCUGAAGGACACCCCUGCCUGGCCCCUUUCAAUGGUCAGUGUCUGACCCACCACACUGGGUCCAUCUGCUGUGCCACCUGAGAUAGUGCUGUGGUUGUAAUGUCUUUUACUAUUGUAUUAAUGGCUAGCCUGUUACAUUAGACUUGGGGGGGGGGUACAGGGGUCUGCUGUUUUGUGAGGCUUUUUGUUUUCUGGGGGGUUGGUUUUGUUUUUUUAAAAAGCUAUUGGAAUUCUAA